GCUCAUAUUUAGAAGUCAUUUAAAGGAUUAAAAGUGAAAGUUUCGCUCUUUCGCCUUCUCCAGGUAUGCUUCUAGAACUGAAAUAAGGAAACAUUUUGGAAGGGAAACCCCACAUCUCGCAGCUGGUAAAGGACAGACAGCAGGCUGUCCAGCCAGGUCUCCUAAUGCAACGCUAGAGCUCUCCCCUUUGCACUUGACCAGCAUGAUGGCCUGUGGCGAGGGGCUCCCAGAUGUAAGGAAGUGACAGCAUGAGGGACUCGGGGCUGCCAUAAGUAACUCAUUUCCAUUCCUAUUACUGUAAUUCAGCUCUUUAAAGAUCAGCCUGCCCUUCUAGUAAAGGAACACACACACACACACACACACACACACAUACACACACACCACUCUGAUUUUCAGUGCAGAAGUUCCAUGCCCAACAGCUAAAAGAGAAGGUUUUGAAAUGGAGAGUGGGGCAGACAGAAGCCCUGGUUAUUAUAGUUAAUUCAAUUUAAUGAAAGCCAUAAAAGCAAAGCAGUUUUGCAGCGGGUGCUGACCAUUCUGAUUGCUCGGAGGACUCCUCGGAGUCCUGCUCUUAACGGAUUGGCAGAGGCCCAAGUCCCUGCCAUUACUCAGCCUCUGGCAAAGGGUCUCUUUACCUUGAUCCACCCAGUUGCUCUUUUGUAAACUAUUUCUCUCCUGUAUUCUGUUGUUUUAUUUAUUUUUAUUUUCUUAAAGAUUUUAUUUAUUUAUUCAUGACAGACACAGAGACACAGAGAGAGGCAGAGACAUAGGCUGAGGGAGAAGCAGGCUCCAUGCAGGGAGCCCGACGUGGGACUCCAUCCCGGGUCUCCAGGAUCACACCCUGGGCUGAAGGCGGCGCUAAACUGCUGGGCCACCGGCGGUGCCCGUAUUCUGUCCUUUUAAAGUAUGCUGUGCUUCUCUGCUCUCCAUUCUCUUCCUGCCUCCCUUCAGGCCAUCCAGCUGGCAGCUGGUCUGCACCUGUGCCACCAGGCCCUGCGCCUGGGCGUGCGGAGACGGCCCCUGCCCUCCGCUCGCUCUCAGCCUCAGUGUGUGGGGUGUGCUCAGGAGAACACAGGCAGGCUUGGACUGGACUGCAGGGGCACUGGGACAGGAGGGACCCCCAACCCUUGACUUUGCAGGCAGAAGGAAUGUCAGAGACCCGCUGCAGGACUUGCGUGCGUCAUAUGCCGUCUUUGCUCAGCCUCCUUCCUUGGCUGUCCCACGCCUCAGGCCUGGUCAGAACUCACCUGCGCCGGAGUCCUCAUCUCCAGGCUCCAUCUGGGGAACACAGCCCAUGGCAGUGGGCUAAACCUCACCGUGUUCCUAGACCUCAAGGCAGAAGCAAGUACUCUGCUGCAAGAGAGCCCACCCCCAGCCCCAUGAAUUCAAAGCCUGGUGCUUUCGAGCAUUUGUCAGGUGUCACCGGAAGGCCUCACAUUUGGCCGGGGAAGAAGAUCACCACCUGCCUAAACCGAAUGUGUCAGGGAAGGGACAGCCUGCGAUACAUUCACCUCUCCAAAAAACGUUGCAGUCUUUCAAAAUUUUAUGUGGAAAGAGAGAAUUGUGUUUGGGGUGUGUCUAUGUAUAUUCGGGGAAAGAUAAAAUUGGAAAUGGCAAAGAAUGUCUGCCUCACAAGAAUGAUUCAAUUCUCCGCUGUCCCUACUUGCCAGGGUACUCGAGGGAGGACCUUGAAGUCAGUGGUGUUUAAUGGAGUGGCUGAGACAUCUCUACCUCCCUUCUCCCCUCUUUUGCUCCAUGUUGGCUGA
rnacentral:lncRNA from 1 species